rnacentral:rRNA from 1 species
CCAUUUCCUGAUUAUCCUACUCCAUUCAAUUUCAUUUUUUGUCCGUUUACUCCUUAAAACAAUAAAGUCGCGGUUAAUCUUCGGGUGCGAUCAUACCAGCACUAAUGCACCGGAUCCCAUCAGAACUCCGCAGUUAAGCGUGCUUGGGCGAGAGUAGUACUAG